AGCGGUGCCUGAGCCCGUGCCUGUCUUCAGAUCUUCACAGCACAGUUCCUGGGAAGGUGGAGCCACCAGCCUCUCCCUGUGGUACUUUCUUACGGCAGCCCUAGCAGAUGCUAAUCCAGCGUGCGUCCUGGCAGAGGUUGAAGGGGGCUCCUCAAGUCCCAGGUCCAGCUUGGUGUGGUUCAGCUACUCGAGAGACAUCUGCUGCUAAUGGAUGAGCAGUCAACCUGGACGCAGGAAAUCAUUUUUUAUUUGGUCUGCAUCCCUCGAAUAACUGGGAGAUGAAACAGGAAGCUCUAUGACACACUUGAUCGAAUAUGACAGACACUGAAAAUCACGACUCAUCCCCCUCCAGCACCUCUACCUGUUGCCCGCCGAUCACAGCCGGAAUGCAGCUGAAAGAUUCCCUGGGGCCUGGUACAAGCAAAGUGGAUCAGCAAAGGCUGCAGUCACCAGCAUCUUUUCCAACCUUAAUGAACUGUAUGCUCUGCCGACUUCCAGUUCUGGAAC
rnacentral:lncRNA from 10 species